AUUGAGGGAAGGAGGUGAGGGGGCUCAGCUUCCCACCUGCCCAGGGGGUGGGCCUUCUGGAGGCCACGCCUCCACCCGCAGAUGGAGGGCUGGAUCUGCAGGGUCCUCUGUGCUCACUCUACAGGGAGGACCCUGGGGCUCAGACCCGCCCGGCCCCACGGCCAGGACUCUGAGAGUGGGACCAGCACUUGAGCUCCAGUUCUGCUGAGUCCACAGAGCCUUCUGCUCCUUCUGGAGCUUCCUCCUCGUCGCACCUCAGAAUCUCUGCACUCUACCCUCUGAGUGCAGAGCUCUGGGAGGUGACUCCCAGGAGGCUGUCGUUAAUAACACUCCUAGGGAAUCUAUCUGCAGCUGUGAGUCCCUGGCUCAUCCAGGGCCUUCCCUGGACAAAGGGGAGGAAGCUUUACAACAUUCUGUGGUGGAUGUAUCCUUGUCUCCAUCUCACCCAGGGGAAACUGAGGCACAAAAUCAUAUCAGAGUCCUAUGGGCUGUGGAAGCUGGGGCCUCAUGGACCAGGGAAUUACUGCUAAUUCUUAGAGAUACCAUAGAGAUUCCUGGGAGCUUUUCAUUAUACAAACUAACCACUCC
ensembl:lncRNA